GACGAACGCUGGCGGCGUGCUUAACACAUGCAAGUCGAACGGAAAGGCCUCUUUCGGGGGGUACUCGAGUGGCGAACGGGUGAGUAACACGUGAGUAACCUGCCCUUGACUUUGGGAUAACUUCAGGAAACUGGGGCUAAUACCGGAUAGGAGCUCCUGCUGCACGGUGGGGGUUGGAAAGGUUCGGCGGUUGGGGAUGGACUCGCGGCUUAUCAGCUUGUUGGUGGGGUAGUGGCUUACCAAGGCUUUGACGGGUAGCCGGCCUGAGAGGGUGACCGGCCACAUUGGGACUGGGAUACGGCCCAGACUCCUACGGGGGGCAGCAGUGGGGAAUAUUGCACAAUGGGUGGAAGCCUGAUGCAGCAACGCCGUGUGCGGGAUGACGGCCUUCGGGUUGUAAACCGCUUUCGCUCAUGACGAAGCUUUGUGUGACGGUAGUGGGUAAAGAAGCACCGGCUAACUACGUG
rnacentral:rRNA from 1 species